UAGCCGCCAUACACACAGAAUUAUGCGAGUUUUAGCCUCUUUAUGCACCCUGCGCCUAAUUUAGAUUGUAAAGGGACGUCUCUGACUAACCUGAAGUUAGCUCGUAUCUAAAAUUAUUUUGUAGCAGUCGGGUUUUAAGUGAAAACCCGUUACAUUAGCCUGUAGCUCUUUUGACAGCUGUCAUUGCAAAAGAGAGCCGGAAAUGGUUAUUUUCCAGUGUUGUCAUCAACGUCAUCAUCGUCGUCGUCAUACAGUCAUAGCUGUUGACCUGACAGAAAUCAUAGAGCUAUCAGAGGUGCUGGUCGCUGGAAAUGUGUUCAUUUGCGGAGCGAUGGUGCGGCACCUGAGCUCUGCUGAGGGAAGGAUGAGAGGAUGAAGGGAAGGAGGGAGAGAGAGACGGAUCGCCAGUCAUCUCUGGACCAGCAGGUCCAUAUUUAAACUGUCCCUUUGUUUUAUAGCCAUGCAUGUGAACCAGUGGCUUGGUGUUUAGGGACCAUAUAUCAGUGUUAAAAUGGCAGAUUACUGUUAAUGAAUGAUAUUUGUGUUCAGCGGGUAUGUCAGAAAGGCGGAGUGACCAGAAAAAACAAUCCACCUUCCCCCUCUUGUGCUUUUGUUCACCAUCUCGGUCGUCUUAUGAGCCCAUUUUGUCCCUCUCUUCCUUACAUCUCAUUUAGUGGCUGAUAUUUAACUGUCCUUAAUUCUUCUUGGGCUGCUUGGGCUUAGGAGAGCUGCAUGUGUAAUCCACUCCCCACAAGUUCUUAUGGAGCCAGACUCCACUGUCUGCUUCACAGGACGCUUCUGCUUACGUUAGGGAUUAUAACAAAUUAGAAAAUAUAGUGACGUAAGUGAUGCAGUGAUUUCAUAUGCAUGUAUUCUUUAUUUGUAGCCGCUUGGUAGUGUAUUUGUAAGUGGUAAGUGUAGUGGUUGCACUUGCAUGUGAAGUUGACCGUUUUUGUUAUUUCUUCCUGUGAUGAAUCUCAAGGAAGGAUAUGAUGAAAUGGAGUAGACCGUGCCAGGACAUAUUCCCACAAUGCUAUUUACACAGUUUUUCACAAACAGUGGGUGAAAAACAUUAGUUCUGGGCAGAGGACUUGAAAUGAGUCAUAUGAAGUGAAAUGAGUCAUUACAGUCUCAAUGUGAAAAGCAUGUGAUACAAUUUACCCAAAAACUUAAAUGUAUUUAUUUACCUUCAUGUUUUUACAAGCCUAUGUGACUUUACUUUUUAUGCAGAAAACAAAAGAAGAUAUUUAGAAAAAUGCUGGUAA